GAGGACAAGUUUCCUGAAAUCUUGCACAGCUUUUGCUCAUUUUGUAUCACUAACAUGAAGUCUGCUCACUUUUUCAUUUAUGUAACAUCAAUGUACUGCCCUGGUAGCACUUGUUUAUGAGAGGAGAUCUCUUUUUUCUGACAUUCUCCUUUCAUAGUGGUAUUAUUACUGCAUCUGGAGAGAGAAAGGCUUGAGCCAGCGUUUCAUAUGAAGUUAGAGCAAGGUAUUGACUAAAUGGAUCAGAGUGAUGAGGUGUCUGAGGGCAGAGUGGACAAAGCCA